rnacentral:rRNA from 10 species
GUCUACGGCCAUACCACCCUGAACGUGCCCGAUCUCGUCUGAUCUCGGAAGCUAAGCAGGGUCGGGCCUGGUUAGUACUUGGAUGGGAGAAAAUGUGGUACAUAUACACCAUGGAAUACUACACAGCCAUAAAAA